rnacentral:rRNA from 1 species
UACGUAGGUGGCGAGCGUUGUUCGGAAUUAUUGGGCGUAAAGCGCGCGUAGGCGGGAUAGUCAGUCUGUAGUAAAAGCGCGGGGCUCAACUCUGUAAGUUCAAUGGAAACUGCUUUUCUUGAGUGCAGGAGAGGAAAUUGGAAUUCCCGGUGUAGCGGUGAAAUGCGUAGAUAUUGGGAGGAACACCAGUGGCGAAGGCGACUUUCUGGACUGUGUCUGACGCUGAGGCGCGAAAGCCAGGGGAGCGAACGGG